rnacentral:rRNA from 1 species
AGAGUUUGAUCAUGGCUCAGGAUUAACGCUGGCGGUAUGCCUAACACAUGCAAGUCGAACGGAAUACUAAUUAAGAGAAUCUCACACUAGUGAGAGGUUCUCACGAGUAGUAUUUAGUGGCGGACGGGUGAGUAACACGUUGGAACCUGCCCCGAAGUGGGGAAUAACUGCUCGAAAGAGUAGCUAAUACCCCAUAGUAUCCGGUUUAUCCGGAUUAAAGAUUUAUCGCUUCGGGAGGGGCCUGCGUCUGAUUAGCUAGUUGGUGAGGUAAAAGCUCACCAAGGCGACGAUCAGUAGCUGGUUCAAGAGGAUGACCAGCCACACUGGGACUGAGAUACGGCCCAGACUCCUACGGGAGGCAGCAGUGAGGAAUCUUCCACAAUGGGCGCAAGCCUGAUGGAGCAAUACCGCGUGCAGGAAGACGCUUUUCGGAGUGUAAACUGCUUUUGUCGUCGAAGAUUAUGACUGUAGACGAAGAAUAAGGACCGGCUAACUACGUG